UUUUUUUACAACUACCACCUAUAAAUACAUUUUUAUUGUGGAAUGAUUGUACCCAUUUUAGUUUUUCAGAAAUUGGGUUCUCUCUCAACUCUCUUGGCUCUAUCUCUCUCUUCAGCCCUUCUCUCUCCCUCGUGUAACUCUCUCUCUCUCUCUCUGAAGCAAUCGUCUUUCUCCCUCAGCGGUGGCUAUUCAUCCAAGCUUAACUCUACGGUUCACAUCCACGAGGUACUGUUCAUCUUCCUUGUCUUUGAAAUUUGGGGUUUUUGUGAAUUUGGUUUAUGGUGUAUGGAUUUGUAAGAAAUUGAUUUAGGGGUUUCUUCGAAAUUGGUUUUGGGUCUCAAUUCUUUGUGCCCAAGUACUAAUUAAUACCAAUCAUGUAGAAUUGUCACUGAAUGAAGCAUCUGUGGAGAAUUGUUGGAUGAAAAUAUCUUUGCUAUAUUCAUGCUACUUCCUCUUGCGGGGGGUUUAUGUUGAGUUAAUAUUUAAAUUUUAAAAUGCAUUCUUUUUUCAAUUUUGAUUUCAACAUUUUCUUCAAAAUUGUUUGUGUGUAAAUGCAAAAUAAAGGCAUAGAUUCUAAUUGGACUAUUCAUUUUGCCCAAAAGCAUUCCUGAUGCUUGAUCUUUGUCAGUGUAACAAUCAUGUUAUGGAAUUAUAAGUUUGCACAUACAAUUUGAUGGUUGUCUAAUUAUAUGUUUCAUGUUUUGGAAAAUUUCUAGUAUUUCUUGAAACCAACCAUGGUUGACUAGUUCACAUUCUCAUUAUCAAUUUUUUUUUCUUUUCCAAUUUGCUUUAUCAGCCAUAUAGUAUUGUGAUUUUAAUAAUCAUUUUUCUUAUAGAUGUUCACAUAUUAACUGGUGAAAAUAAUUGAACAGAGAAAAUCCAAUGAUGCAGAAGUCGAGUCACUGCGAUAGGAAUACCAUCAAAGGGUUGCAACACUUGAAAGGAAGGUAGGUCUUCUCAUAAAGUCUUGUUUAUAAUCGUGCUUGGAUUGAUCUAGGUGUUAUAUGUGCCCGUUAUGUUUUUGAUGAAAUUGGUACUUGCCUAUUUUUAAUUCAGCUCCUGAUAAUUGGAGGGGCUAUGCCAACUUAUGAUUGCAGGUGUAUGCUCUUACAAAGGAAAGGGACACGCUUUGGCGGGAGCAGAAUAAGAAAAGUGAUGCAGCUGCUCUUCUGAAGGAAAAGGAUGAAAUAAUUAAUCAAGUUAUGGCUGAAGGUCUCUUUCUGUCCCUGUCUGUCUCUGUUUCUCUUGAGAAGCUCAAUAUGUUCUACAUAUUUUGUGCCUCAUAGUGAAUUUCAACGUAGCCAAUGUUCUAUUGUGGAUGCAAGGAGGGUUUCUUUAUGCAAUCAUAUCAAUAAUUAUGGAAAUUCCUUCAUUUUUGCAUUUUUAUGUACCAGCUGAAGAGCUUUCAAAAAAGCAGGCUGCUCAAGAAGGACAGAUUAGGAAAUUAAGGGCUCAGGUAUGCUAGCCGGUUUAUUCAUUGUCUGAUUUUGUCAUUCUUUAAUCCUUUCACUGCUAGGUAUUCUUAUAUUUUUUUUUUCUCUGAAUACUAGAUCAGAGAGUUUGAAGAAGAGAAGAAAGGGUUGAUUACUAAACUUCAGGUAAUUCAUUUAUGUUAGAAUCUUUAAAAUUGUGGUUCUCUGAUUUCGUUUGAUAAAGACAACUCUUGACCAGCAUAUUGAAGAGCAAUUUGGUUGUGGUCGUCUAUUGGCUUGUAUCUCAUCACGACCUGGACAGUGGCUGUGCUGAUGGGUAUGUGAUUUUAUUUGCCUAUGUCUGUUUCUAGUCAGCAGAUUUGUCAUAGGCAACUUAGUGUAGUUACCAUAUUGCAAGGGCUGAAAUCUGGAUGAUAUCAGCUUCUUUUUAUUGUUGUUUUAAAGUGAGGUAUGUAUGGGUCUUAUGAAAUUUUUACAGAAAUAUAUUGGAGGGCAAAUAAUUUUAUUUUAGUUUUUUAUUCCCAAAUGAUACCCAAAACAUGUAAGCUUCAUACUAUGUUAAUUUCUGCAGGAUGGGAAAACAUUGGACAAUGAGUUGGAGGUUGUUGAGGGAAUGAAGCUAGACAGGGGCUACAUAUCCCCUUAUUUCAUCACCAACCAGAACAAUCAGAAAUGUGUAAGUUUUAGUUUGACUCAGUGAUAACUAUGUCUUGAAACUGUUAGAGGGCUGCUUGUUAAAGUUAGCAGCACCUCAAGUCCCUUUUUGCUUGAUGAUGAUUAUCUUCAAACUUGUGUAUGUGCUGAUAGGAAUUGGAAAAUCCUCUAAUCAUAAUCCAUGAGAAGAAAAUCUCAAGUAUUAAUGAUGUGGUUAAAGUAUUGGAGUUGGUUUUGCAGGUUAGCAUUUCUCUGGUUAGGUUCACUAGUUUCUUCGUUUUUACUAUGAAUUGGUUGACAAACUUUUGCUCCUUUUCAGAAGCAAAGGUCUUUGCAUUUUGUUAUAUAUUUCAGAACCAAAGUUAUAAAAGAAAAUGGUUUUCCUCUUUGUUAAUUGAGAAUCAUCUGCAGUUAUGAUUUCAGAUCUGUAGAUAACCUGUUGUUGCUGAUAUUGCUACACGGGAGGAGAACAGAACAACUUGGAAAAUGUGCAAGAAGGGAGAGCUAACUCAUACAACGAAGAACAAAUUGAUGAAGUUAAGAUCAAAUUAGUAGAAUUUGUGAGCUCUCCAUUAUUUAUAAUUAUAGGUAGGAAGUAUGUAUGUAAUAGAGUA
rnacentral:lncRNA from 1 species